CAUGAUCCGUGACGUAAUAUAUUAAAAUUUAAAAACUAUUGGUAAAAAUCUGUGAAGAAUGUAUUUUUGAAAGCAUCACUUCAUAUUGAAGUGUAAAAAAAACAUUACAAAAUAUUCUUUUGCCAUUAGAAUCUAUUUUAAUUAGAUAGAAUACGUAAAUUGAAACUGCACUAUUUUAUAUCGAACAUUUUGAUAAAAUAAGAAAUAUAAGUAAUAUGCAAUCAUUUGCUUUUUACCGACCACAAGGGAAAAGUUAGAAAUCACAAAUUUACCGCCAACCACUUCAACAGAAGUAUAUUUAAAUUGUAUUAAUCGUCUGUGCAAUAUACCUGGUAAUUGUGGAGAAAAAAU